rnacentral:rRNA from 1 species
UACGUAGGGUGCAAGCGUUAAUCGGAAUCACUGGGCGUAAAGCGCACGUAGGCGGAUUCGUAAGUCAGGGGUGAAAUCCCGGGGCUCAACCUCGGAACUGCCUUUGAUACUGCGGGUCUUGAGUCCGAUAGAGGUGGGUGGAAUUCCUAGUGUAGAGGUGAAAUUCGUAGAUAUUAGGAAGAACACCGGUGGCGAAGGCGGCCCACUGGAUCGGUACUGACGAUGAGGUGCGAAAGCGUGGGGAGCAAACAGG